CUUCGACUGCUCUGACCGGCAGUUCCACUCGGUGGCAGCAGCCUGGCAGGCACGGCUGGAGAGCCCCGCCGACGUGAAGGAGCUCAUUCCGGAGUUUUUCUACUUUCCUGACUUCCUGGAGAACCAGAAUGGUAGCAUGCGAGGCACCGGGGCUCCGGCAUGAGUGAACAGACGGGGUGUGUGUGUGUGUGUGUCCAGGGAUGGUGAAGAAUCCUCAGGCACACUGCUAACUUUCUCUUCUGCUAGGCUUUGACCUGGGCUGCCUCCAGUUGACCAACGAGAAGGUGGGUGAUGUGGUGCUGCCCCCGUGGGCCGGCAGCCCCGAGGAUUUCAUCCAGAAACACCGCCAGGCUCUGGAGUCAGAGUAUGUGUCCACCCACCUGCACGAAUGGAUCGACCUCAUCUUUGGCUAUAAGCAGCGGGGU
rnacentral:lncRNA from 1 species